rnacentral:rRNA from 1 species
CCUACGGGAGGCAGCAGUGGGGAAUAUUGCACAAUGGGGGAAACCCUGAUGCAGCGACGCCGCGUGAGUGAAGAAGCAUUUCUGCGUGUAAAGCCCUAUCUGCAGGGAAGAAGUAAGCCGGUACCUGACUACGACGCCCCGGCUCACUACGUGCCCGCCGCCGAGGUAAUACGUAGGGGGCAAGCGUUAUCCGGAUUUACUGGGUGUAAAGGGGGCGUAGACGGCAGUGCAAGUCAGGAGUGAAAGCCCAGGGCCCAACCCUGGGACUGCUGUUGAAACUGGGGGGCUGGAGUGCGGGAGAGGUAGGUGGAAUUCCUGGUGUAGCGGUGAAAUGCGUAGAUAUCAGGAGGAACACCGGUGGCGAAGGCGGCAUACUGGACAGUAACUGACGUUGAGGCUCGAAAGCGUGGGGAGCAAACAGGAUUAGAUACCCCAGUAGUC